rnacentral:rRNA from 1 species
UGGUCAGGACGAACGCUGGCGGCGUGCCUAACACAUGCAAGUCGAGCGAUGAAGUCUCGGAACGGAUUAGCGGCGGACGGGUGAGUAACACGUGGGUAACCUGCCUUGUAGAGGGGGAUAGCCUUCCGAAAGGAAGAUUAAUACCGCAUAACAUCUUUUUAUCGCAUGGUAGAAAGAUCAAAGGGGCAAUCCGCUACAAGAUGGACCCGCGGCGCAUUAGCUAGUUGGUGAGGUAACGGCUCACCAAGGCGACGAUGCGUAGCCGACCUGAGAGGGUGAUCGGCCACAUUGGAACUGAGACACGGUCCAGACUCCUACGGGAGGCAGCAGUGGGGAAUAUUGCGCAAGUUACGGGGGAAACCCUGACGCAGCAACGCCGCGUGAAUGAAGAAGGCCUUAGGGUUGUAAAGUUCUGUUUACGGGGACGAUAAUGACGGUACCCGUGGAGGAAGCCACGGCUAACUACGUGCCAGCCGCCGC